rnacentral:tRNA from 1 species
ACUCAGUUGGUAGAGUACAAAGCUCUUAACCUUGUGGGCGUGGGUUCAAGCCCCAU